AAAUCAUUUUGCAUGGUAAAAAAAAAAAGAAGAAAAAAAUGUCCAACAGGAAAUUACGCUUUAGUGGCCCCUGCCAUAAAACAAAUAAUAAAAAUAAACGUACACCAAUAAGAUUUCUCCAUGUUUUCCAACAGACAAGUGAGGGGAAUAAAAACAGCUCUGAUAGAUCUAGACGCUUUAAAUCCAACACAAAAACAUACUAAAUUACUGUCUAUUAUGUUUAAACACCAAACAUGGUGACAUUUAAACACAUUAGGAGAGUCGAUCAAUUCAAAGUCGGACAAUUUUAAACUUCAGCUGACUGAUUAAUGCAAAAUAGUGGCUUUGUUUUUUCUGGCACUUGUGACAUUUUGCAGCCCGUAAAAUGAAGGUCAUAGAUUCCCAAAAACACUUUCACUUUCAAACACCAACAUCUCACCUAGUCGCACGUCAUCUCAGAAAUAUUUUUCAAAAAAUAUGUCGACAAAUAAGCAGCGAAUGUACCGUGCAUCAUCAUCAUCAUCAUCAUCAUCAGUAGUCACGGUGGGUUCUGCUUCCCAAACCACAGAUUAGGAGUGAAGAGACAGGGCAGCGAGAGCACUGUUUGGAUUAUAAUCUCACCAAAACAUCAGGGAAUGUCAGCGUAACCAGAUUAAACAGAGCUAAUGAAAUACAUAAUGCAUGUGAGAUCUUAUGGGGAGGAACUGAGAGAUGAAAGAUGGCUGAGGAUUAGGGUGGCAAAACCUCCCAAAAUAAAAUCCAAAAGAAGCAAAGGGCAGAGCAGGAAAAGGUCGGGAACCCCUGCGCGCUUUUCUUUUUUCCUCCCUCAGAUGGACAAAGACUGACACACACCUCUCCUUUCAUUCAGUCACUUGUGUUUAAUUUAAUCCAAUCCACAGAGUUUCAUACUGCAUCCAUCAACAAGUCUUGGUCAAAAAAGAAAAAAGAAAAGCGAACCCAGAAGGGAUUUUUAGUUGUUUUUUUUUUUGUUUUUGUCUUGUAAGCCACGUGUGCCUGAAGAUCACUUCACCCUAAAAAUGAUUUUCACUGACAUUUCCCCCAAUGCAGCAAUGCGCGCUCCCAAAAGCCGAUUUCCAGGGGAGGAGGGGGAGGGGGCAGAGGGGGGGGCGUCCUCCUGUUUGGACACGGAGCGCGAGCGCGCAGCCCUCUCAACAAAACUCUGCGGGGGCGCGCGUGAGCGGGCACGGGUCAGCCAUUGGCUGAAGCGCAGCUCCAUGUGCACACGUGACCUGCACUGCUUAGCUACAAUAAAUAAACUGCUACGAGGAGCAAAACCAGUUCAAAUUGCCUCUAAUUGAUGCAACUUUCACUGGAGCAACGGGACGGAAUUAAAAAGGUCCGGUGGCAGGCGGAGAGCGCCACGCAAAAAGGAGAAAAAGCGCUUUAGAGACAGCCAUUAGGUUCGCCACUCCACAUUACGGUGCCGGUUUUGCGCUGUCCAGGCUCCAGCUGAGGCAGCCGGAGGAAAACACCGCCACCGCCACACACCACAGCCACACACACGCGUCCACACUAUUCCAAGCGGGCUUACCUACACAGUGAAUGAGUUUGUGCCUCCAAGAGUCAAGUUCCUGCCGAAAGCCGCGCCUCUCUAUCGUGCAUUGCUGCCUUUUGCACAGACUCGCCAUUUUCUGUCGGCCCCUCCCGUGGGCGCGCACAUACUGCUGGGUGCUUCUCUGCGCGCACGUCACCGGUGGAUUUUAUUCUAGGGCUGGGUGGAGAGAGAUAUGAGGAGGACGGGGCUGCAGCAUCCCCCUUUCUAUGCCGCUGUUUGUCCCACCCACCUAAACUGCCCCCUCCCCUCCGCGUCUCAGCAUCUCUGCACGAGGAUCGGCUGCCAUUGGCUGCUUCCGUGGGAUGUUUGUUUUAAUGUACAGCCACGGAGUGUGCCACAUGGGCGCCCGUGCGCAAAUUUUCUCUUUCUUUUUUUUGGCAAGGCUUAAACCUGCUGCAUGUGUGCCAAAGGGCGAGGGUGUGCCGUGCCGGAGAUUUAAAAUAAAGUGUGUGCAUUGUUUAAAUCAGCUGAUGGGUUACACUCUACCUGUAACCCAUCAGCUUCCACUUUCUCACGCAGGGAAAGUGGGUGCGUGAGAAAAUAUGUCGCACCUUUCCGAACAAAAACUGGGCAGUAAAAGAGAAACAAAAACGAGUUAAAGGCAAAAAUGUAGACAGGACACUUUAGUGGGAGGAAAUAUCAUAACUCCACCUGUAAUUAGUUAUUUUAUGAUGGUCUUACAUGCAUUUAGUGUAAAGCAUAUUUACAACAACAACUCUAAAUAUAUGACCUUUAAACAUAUACAUUUAGAUAAUGCAUUGUUUUAACUUCGUCUGCUUAUUUAACUGUAAUGUUUAAACUUUGAGCAAUUUUGCACUUUGUUGUCUGAAAACGUUCCAACUAUCUAUAGUAAUAUUAAUUACAUACUUUUUAAAAAAUACAAUGACAAUUGCUUCACAAGAUAAAAUUUAAACAAAGACAUGUUUAAGUAGAAAAAACAGGGAAAAUUAUGUGAAGUAGUAAGAAAAACUUAAUUAUUGUAUAUAAAAUGAUUAUUAUUGUUGUGGGAUUAAUUUCAGACUCUGAACUCACCAAUUACACUUCUUGAAACAUCAUCUGUGUUUGGACAUCGUGGCAUAAAAAUGUUUACAAAUGAGUCCAAUAAUAGCAGUAAUAAUCAUUAAAAAUAGUAAAUCAUAUUCAUUUUGGACAUUUCAGAAAUAACCUACAAAGAGCUUCAGAGUAUCUCAUAGAAAAUAAAAAAUAUAAAAGUAUAACUUUAAAAGCAGAGGCACAAGUAGAUUAAUUAUUUCAUUUCCCUUUGCGAUCAAUAAAGUGGCUUUGAAUCGAAAUUAACUGAAUUAAAACAAUCAAUAAAAUACAAUUUAAUA